GACGAACGCUGGCGGCGUGCCUAAUACAUGCCAGUAGAACGCACAGUUUAUACCGUAGCUUGCUACACCAUAGACUGUGAGUUGCGAACGGGUGAGUAACGCGUAGGUAACCUGCCUGGUAGCGGGGGAUAACUAUUGGAAACGAUAGCUAAUACCGCAUAAUAUUGAUUAUUGCAUGAUAAUUGAUUGAAAGAUGCUAUUGCAUCACUACCAGAUGGACCUGCGUUGUAUUAGCUAGUAGGUGAGGUAACGGCUCACCUAGGCGACGAUACAUAGCCGACCUGAGAGGGUGAUCGGCCACACUGGGACUGAGACACGGCCCAGACUCCUACGGGAGGCAGCAGUAGGGAAUCUUCGGCAAUGGACGAAAGUCUGACCGAGCAACGCCGCGUGAGUGAAGAAGGUUUUCGGAUCGUAAAGCUCUGUUGUAAGAGAAGAACGGGUGUGAGAGUGGAAAGUUCACACUGUGACGGUAUCUUACCAGAAAGGGACGGCUAACUACGU
rnacentral:rRNA from 1 species